UGUCUUGCCCAUCAUAAUUUCUCAUAUGUUUAAGUUGUACUCAUGCAGUAAAAUAACUUCCACAAGAUCUUUCCAUCUUUUAUCUGGAACAGCGACACAAAACAUCCAAAAGACCCAACAUGUGACCGAACUUUAAGAUUAAAUUGCACAUUGUGUUCAUAUCUGAUGUGUUUUAAAAACACUAAACCACAGAUCAGACCUGAUUUACUGCAGACUGAAGAGCAGCAAGUUCAAAUAAAAACCUCUGGCUCCGACAAGCCAAGUACAUAAACGUCUAAAUGGAAAUAUCAGACCUCGUCUAACAGAAGGAAUUGUGUGGUGUGCGUGGAAAUUCACUCUGGAUUUAUUUCAUUUGCAUUUAUCAAGAUAUUAAAACUCUUUUAUCACAAACUGGCCACGGACCGUCUGGGAUGCACAGCUGCAUGUUUCAGCGAAGCCAGAGGACAGACAGCAGCUUAGUAAAGUUGAGGAAUGUGUAAAGGACAUUAGACGUUGGAUGUUAACUAACUUCCUUUUACUUAAUUCUGAUAAAACAGAAAUACUUGUACUAGGACCACGUGUAGCUAGAAGUAAUCUUUCUGAUCUCACAGUAACUCUGGAUGGACUUUCUGUGUCAUCAUGUGCAGCAGUUAAAGACCUUGGAGUGAUUAUUGACUCCAGUCUAUCAUCUGAUGCUCAUGUAGAUAAUAUUACUAGGAUAGUCUUCUUUUAUCUCAGAAAUAUUUCUAAGAUAAGAAAUAUAUUGUCACUACAUGAUGCAGAAAUAUUAGUUCAUGCAUUCAUCACCUCUAGAUUAGAUUACUGUAAUGCCUUACUGUCUGGAUGUUCCAGUAGGAGCAUAAACAAACUCCAGUUAGUCCAGAAUGCAGCUGCUAGAGUCCUAACUAGAACCAGAAGAUACCACCACAUCACCCCGAUCUUAUCCACACUGCAUCGGCUCCCAGUGAAAUCUCACAUUGAUUAUAAAAUACUACUACUGACCUAUAAAGCACUAAACGGUCUCACGCCACAGUACCUGAGAGAACUUUUGGUCUUUUAUGAUCAGCCACGCCUACCUCCAUCAAAAGUACAGGCUAUUUGUUGGUACCUGGAAUAGUGAAGGCUACAGCAGGGGAAGAGCUUUCUCUUACAAAGCCUCACAGUUAUGGAACUCAGACACAGUCUCAGUGUUUAAGUCCAGGCUGAAAACAUAUUUGUUUACUCAAGCCUACCAUGAGUAGACUUUCUGUUACACAAGGUACACAGUCUUAUCCAUUAUAGGAUAGUAAUCAUACAUAAUGAUCUCUCCCUCUCUUUACCUCCCUCUCCCUCUCUCCUUCUGUCGAGCCACACAUGAUAUUAAGGAGAUGUCAGUGAUCCUGACCCUUUCUGCUCUCCAGACCUGCCUGAUCCAUCCUGAUGCCCUACUUCUGGAGCAGAUCACAGCUCACAUAGUGCUCCGGGUCCUGAGUGGAACAUUAUCCGGACCUGAUUCCUAUCAGCAGUAAUGAAGCGGGGCACCGGUUUCAGGAAUAAACAACUCCUGUUCUGAGAACAAAUGAUCUGAAAGUGCAAGUCAGCACAAAAGCUGGGUUUAUAUCCCACACUCCGCUUCCUGACCUGACUGUCAUGGUGUUUGAGUCAGUUUGUGUUCUUGUUUUGUUUUGUUUUUAACAGUUGACACUGAUAUGAGAAUAAAAUAAAGUGUAUUAUGGUUUAAUGGAAUGAAGAGCAGGAUGUUUAAAUCGAGUCCAUGUACAAAAUAUAGAUUUUCAUUAAA